GCUCCCGUACCUCAGUUGGUUAGAGCACCUGUUUAGUAAGCGGGAGGUCUUGAGUUCAACUCUCAACAAAAGCA
rfam:Eutrema salsugineum unplaced genomic scaffold scaffold_1, whole genome shotgun sequence.